UGCUGCACAAUAUGUAGGCCUUCGGGUGU
rnacentral:piRNA from 1 species